AUCUUUCAUCUUUCUCUUCUGUCAGUUUAAAAAACCUUCUUACCCUUUCAUUCUUUGUUGAAAUUCAGAUUCGCUGAGUUUUUCCUGUCAAGUACUAAUAAUUCAUAAAUAUGCCAAAUUUUCGAGGGCCUCAUUUACAUUGUUGCUUCUCAGUAAUUUUGUAUUUUCAAUGACUUUUUUUCCCUCACGUGCUAAUGUAGAUCUAUCAUCUCUGCUCUGGCUUAUAAGACAGUUGGUAUCUAUUCAAGAAGAGCUACUUGAUUAAAUAUAAAGAUGUUGAAAUUAGAUGAGAAUACUUUACCAAAAGAGAUUCAAAAAAUAAUUGGCAAUGAAUAUUUGUUCCAACUGCAUCUUGAUGAAUAUAAUUUGAAGUAUGGAAAAGAAAAUUACACGGUCUCAAAAAUUUGGGAGAUGGAAGUUUUACAUAAGCAAAAAGACUCAAGUAAAGUUGAAGAACAUCAGGAAACAAUGGAGGAAAUUGUAAGAAAAUCAAGGAAGGACAAGUACACAGCCAAUCAAAAAAUAGAAAUAGGAGAAACAUCUGUUCAAAGACCUGAAAGAAUGCCGCUUCAAAUGCUUCAAAAACGUCAAAAAAGUACUAAGCAAAUUGCUACAAAGAAGAAAAAAAACUGAACUCUAUUGUAUAUACUACCUUACUCUAGGAAUCUUUACGUAUUUCAUAGUAUUGUUAAUUUUUAUUUUUUUGCCUUUAGAAGAGUAAAUUGAAUGUAC